GACGGAGGAUGCAAGCGUUAUCCGGAAUUAUUGGGCGUAAAGCGUCCGCAGGUGGUUAAACAAGUCCGCCCUCAAAGAGUGGAGCUCAACUCCAUAGAGGGGGUAGAAACUGUGAGACUAGAGGAUGGUAGAGGUAGGAGGAAUUCCCAGUGUAGCGGUGAAAUGCGUAGAUAUUGGGAAGAACACCCGCAGCGAAAGCGUCCUACUGGGCCAGACCUGACACUGAGGGACGAAAGCUAGGGGAGCGAAAGGG
rnacentral:rRNA from 1 species